UACGGAGGGUGCAAGCGUUAAUCGGAAUUACUGGGCGUAAAGCGUGCGCAGGCGGUUUGUUAAGUCCGUUGUGAAAGCCCCGAGCUCAACUUGGGAAUUGCAGUGGAUACUGGCAGGCUGGAGUACGGUAGAGGAAGGUGGAAUUCCCGGUGUAGCAGUGAAAUGCGUAGAUAUCGGGAGGAAUACCAGUGGCGAAGGCGGCCUGCUGGGCCACGACCGACACUGAGGUGCGAAAGCGUGGGGAGCGAACCGG
rnacentral:rRNA from 1 species